rnacentral:rRNA from 1 species
AGCUUAAAGAGCCGCGGUAUUUUGACCGUGCAAAGGUAGCAUAAUCAUUAGUUUUUUAAUUGGAAACUCGUAUGAAUGGUUAAACAAAAGAAUCUCUGUCUUUUUAUCUAAUAUUGAACUUAACUUUUAAGUGAAAAGGCUUAAAUUUUUUAAGGGGACGAUAAGACCCUAUAAAGCUUUAUAAUGAAAUAAUAUUUUUUUGAAUAAAUUUUAUAAAAAAUAAAUAAAAUAACCUUAUUUUGUUGGGGCGACAUAGAUAUAAAUAUAUAAUUUAACUGUCAUAAUAUAAUACAUAAAUAUUUGAAUUAAAUAUAAAUGAUCCUUUUUUUAAAGAUUAAAAGACUAAGUUACUUUAGGGAUAACAGCGUUAUUUCUUUUGAGAGUUCUUAUUGAAAAAGAAGUUUGCGACCUCGAUGUUGAAUUAAAAAAUCUUUAUAGUGCAGCCGUUAUAAAAAGAAGGUCUGUUCGACCUUUAAAUUUUUA